rnacentral:rRNA from 1 species
CGAAUGCUGACAUAAGUAACGAUAAAGCGGGUGAAAAGCCCGCUCGCCGGAAGACCAAGGGUUCCUGUCCAACGUUAAUCGGGGCAGGGUGAGUCGACCCCUAAGGCGAGGCCGAAAGGCGUAGUCGAUGGGAAACAGGUUAAUAUUCCUGUACUUGGUGUUACUGCGAAGGGGGGACGGAGAAGGCUAUGUUGGCCGGGCGACGGUUGUCCCGGUUUAAGCGUGUAGGCUGGUUUUCCAGGCAAAUCCGGAAAAUCAAGGCUGAGGCGUGAUGACGAGGCACUACGGUGCUGAAGCAACAAAUGCCCUGCUUCCAGGAAAAGCCUCUAAGCAUCAGGUAACAUCAAAUCGUACCCCAAACCGACACAGGUGGUCAGGUAGAGAAUACCAAGG